AAAACAAUAGAGUGAGUGAUUAUCAUGUGAAAGAGAGAGAGGUCUCAAUUCAUCUAUUACUUCUAUUCACUUCCUUCAUGAAUCCGACAAUUUAGUCAAACUAUUAUUUGGUUUUGUUUAGGUCCUCCUCAUUAUAUAGCUACCACCAUUCACACUCUCUUGUGUAUAACUCACCUCUAUCUACUAUACAUAGUACUAUAUCUGAAAAUGAAUGCUUAUUCUAAGAUUGAUACCCACAAAUCAAGAUCCAUAGAUUUUUUCUCAUUCCCUCAAACACCAAAACCAGUUCCAGUUAGGAAAACUGUCCCCUCAACCAAGCAUGAACAAGAAGAAUCUAAUGACCACAAUUGUUGUCCCCCUCAGAGUCAGAGUCAGAGUCAGAGUGAAGGAGAGAGAUUUGGGGUGAUAUUGGGUAAGAGCUGUUCAGUUUCUUCUUCAUCAUCUUCUUCUACUGCUUCUGGAUUUCAGACGACAAUGAAGAGGGCAUUUUCAAUAAGAAGAUCUUCAUCAGUUUCAGAGAGAUACUGUAGGAUCCAUGAUCAAAGCAUGGCAAUAGCAUCAGAUCAUGAUUUAGACAUAAUAAUCAAUGAUGGUGGUGAAGGUAAGACGACAGAGAAGAGAAGACAGAAGGGAGGCAAGAAGAUCCUUAAAGCUUGUAAGCGCCUGCUUGGACUCUAGCUACUUAGUAGUAUUAAUUAUGGAAUGAAUAAUAAUAAUAAUAAUGAGAUUCAAAGUGGAAUUAACUGUUCUUGAGAACUCAUUUAAUGACAAGUUUAUUCCUGAUUUUUUCUUCAAAAGUUUCUUUUCCACAAUUCAAGUAUUCAAGUACUUUACUUGCAUUUUGGCAGAAUCUCUUGGUCAGCCAGUCACUGCUUUUACUCAUAUCCUUAUUAAUUUACUUGUAAAAAGUAAAAGUAGGUUUUAUUAUAUUAUAUGGUCUUCUUUCGUUCCAACUCCAAGACAAGAAGAAUAGAUCAUUAUCCAUGAGACCUAAUCAAGAUUUGUUGUGCUUGCGAUUUACUACUUAAUAAUAAUAAUAAUCAUAUCACACAACAAAGUGAAUCGUAUGUAUGUAUGUGUACCCUAAGAUUAAAAAAGAAAUUUGAUCAAGUAUCAAAUGAUAAUCAUAGUGAUAGACGGAAGCAUAAUAAUAAUAAGAUGUAAAGUUGCAAGUGACAUAAAAUAAAAACAAACUAGGAUGCAUUAGCAUAUACAUAUACAUAUACAUAUACAUAUACAUAUACAUAUACAUAUACAUAUACACGUGCAUCAUCAAUUAGCACAUACACGACAAGGGCAAUGAGAUCUUUUCGUUGAUUUUAAAGCAUAGGUUGGAAUCGAAUAUAACAAAGUUCAUUCAUUGUACCAUCCAAUAAUGACAUGCCUCUUCUGGAAUCCAAAGAGGAAACUAUUACUAAAUUUUUUGGAUUCCUCAACUUAAUUAGUAAUAGUAAUUAUUUGAGGAACAGUGUUUUGCAUUUGAAUUGGAGUUGUCCAUUGCUAAACAAAAGUCAAUGCCGUGUCUGUGUGGAUAAGAAUUUGAUUAAGAAUGUAAUGCAAUGUCAUCAAUUUUUAAUUACGUACUAAAUAAAAUAAUAAAUAGGAGAGGAGAAAGUUAUUUUCUACGUCAAAUGUGCAUUCAAUUUUGUUAGGGGAAGUUAGUUAUUAUAAGUUGAAUUGAGAGGGAAAAAAACAGAGAGAAAUGCUAAUAAUAAUAAAUAGGAUAAAGAUGAAAGCACAGAAAUAGCAAACUAUAUUUAUCCAUUCCUAUGAUCUGAUCUAAUCUAUCUAUAUCCUUUACUUUCAUCCCAAAAUCACUCUCCAUUCUUACACUUUUGAGGGGUAGAGAGAAACAAAUAAUAAUAAUAAUAGAUGGAGAAAACAGGGGACGAAUCUCCAAAGAAUAAAGUAAAAUUCCUUUGCAGUUAUGGUGGAAAGGUUCUACCACGAUCCUCCGAUGGGGUCCUCAAGUAUGUGGGCGGGGAGACUCGUGUCAUUUGUGUUCCUCGCGACGUCACCUUCUCCGAUAUGAUGAAAAAGGUGAGUAGCAUGGUUGGUGGAGAGGUGGUGUUGAAGUACCAGUUGAUCCCUGAAGAGCUUGAUGCAUUGGUGUCCGUUAGAACAAAUGAGGAUCUGAAGCACAUGAUUGAGGAACAUGAUCGGCAUGAGACAGGAGGAGCCCCAUUGCUUCGCGCAUUUUUAUUUCCUUCGAAGCCACUUUUGCUCGAGGGUCAUAAUCAAAUGCAAGGGCAACCACCAGGACUACAUCCACUAUCUGUUGAACCAUAUUUGUUAGAGAAACGCUACAUUGAUGCCAUCAAUGGAAUCGUCCGCACAAGCCCCAGGUCUAAGUUUGCACCAUACUCUGCAUGUUCUUCACCAAAAUCAAUCUCCCCAGAUAAGCAUACGAACACAGACUCGCCUUUCCACCACGGUUUGCAGCAGUUAAAGGGUAGGGAUACAAUACAAAGAGUGAGAAGCUCGCCCAAUUUAUCUAAUAUUACAAACACCAACAAUAAUAGACAAUCACCACCCCAACAGCGGCAGCAACAGCAACAGCAGCAUGAUCAUGGUAUUAGUAGUAAUAGUCAUUAUCACCACAACCCCCCUAUUGCAUUCAGACCCAUACAAGAACAAGGGAUAAGCAUGGGGAUGGGAAGGUUAUCUCCAAUGAAUAUGAAUAUGAUGACAGAUAAUAAUAUGAGUAGCAGCAGUAGGGGUAUUAGUUACUAUUACUCCACGGCAAACAGACCACAUAAAGCAUAUGCAUACCAGGAUGACCCUGUUGGUCAUAUUAAGUUUGAAAGAGUUCAUUCCGUCCCCCGAAGUCCCAGAAUGUCUAUAUGGGAAUGAUAAUCAAACUAAUUACAUCCUUUGUUUCAUAAGUACAUAAAUUUAAACAAAAGUGUUGCCUGAUGUUGUAUGUAAAUCAAUGAAUUGUAAAUAAUGAUAUUCAUUUUUUUCUUUCUUCCAAACUAGGUAUUGUGAUUAAAGAUUAAGAAA